UACGAAGGGGGCUAGCGUUGUUCGGAUUUACUGGGCGUAAAGCGCACGUAGGCGGCGCAGCAAGUCAGGGGUGAAAUCCCGGGGCUCAACCCCGGAACUGCCCUUGAAACUGCAGUGCUAGAAUUCUGGAGAGGCGAGUGGAAUUCCGAGUGUAGAGGUGAAAUUCGUAGAUAUCGGGAGGAACACCAGUGGCGAAGGCGGCGAUCUGGGAAGAUACUGACGCUGAGGUGCGAAAGCUAGGGGAGCAAACAGGG
rnacentral:rRNA from 1 species